rnacentral:rRNA from 1 species
AUUGAACGCUGGCGGCAGGCCUAACACAUGCAAGUCGAACGAGUGGCGGACGGGUGAUUAAUGUCUGUGAAACUGCCCGAUGUAGGGGGAUAACUACUGGAAACGCUAGCUAAUACCGCAUACCAUCGGAUGUGCCCCGGUGUGAUUAGCUAGUGGGUGGGGUAACGGCUAACCUAGGCGACGCUCCCUAGCUGGUCUGAGAGGAUGACCAGCCACACUGGAAAUGAGAAACGGUCCAGACUCCUACGGGAGGCAGCAGUGGGGAAUAUUGGACAAUGGGCGCAAGCCUGAUGCAGCCAUGCCGCGUGUAUGAAGAAGGCCUUCGGGUUGUAAAGUACUUUCAGCGGGGAGGCGUUACUCGAAGAAGAAGCACCGGCUAACUCCGUGCCAGCAGCCGCGGUAAUUC